UGAUGGCUGUUUCUCUAGUGGCUGGAGCCUUAGGUAGUGGGAUUUUAGUCCAUCAUAUGUCUUAAGCUGGCUUGUCUUCUUUCAGGACACCACAGGGAUGGCUUGGCUGUUUGUUAAUGUGUUCUGAUUUUUGCAGAAUCACACAAUU
rnacentral:snoRNA from 1 species